AUUGAACGCUGGCGGCAGGCUUAACACAUGCAAGUCGAGCGGGGUGAUGGUGCUUGCACUAUCACUUAGCGGCGGACGGGUGAGUAAUGCUUAGGAAUCUGCCUAUUAGUGGGGGACAACAUCUCGAAAGGGAUGCUAAUACCGCAUACGUCCUACGGGAGAAAGCAGGGGAUCACUUGUGACCUUGCGCUAAUAGAUGAGCCUAAGUCGGAUUAGCUAGUUGGUGGGGUAAAGGCCUACCAAGGCGACGAUCUGUAGCGGGUCUGAGAGGAUGAUCCGCCACACUGGGACUGAGACACGGCCCCGACUCCUACGGGAGGCAGCAGUGGGGAAUAUUGGACAAUGGGGGGAACCCUUAUCCAGCCAUGCCGCGUGUGUGAAGAAGGCCUUAUGGUUGUAAAGCACUUUAAGCGAGGAGGAGGCUCUUUUGGUUAAUACCCAAGAUGAGUGGACGUUACUCGCAGAAUAAGCACCGGCUAACUCUGUGCCAGCCGCCGCGGUAA
rnacentral:rRNA from 1 species